rnacentral:rRNA from 1 species
GACGAACGCUGGCGGCGUGCUUAACACAUGCAAGUCGAACGGAAAGGCCCUGCUUUUGUGGGGUGCUCGAGUGGCGAACGGGUGAGUAACACGUGAGUAACCUGCCCUUGACUUUGGGAUAACUUCAGGAAACUGGGGCUAAUACCGGAUAGGAGCUCCUGCUGCAUGGUGGGGGUUGGAAAGUUUCGGCGGUUGGGGAUGGACUCGCGGCUUAUCAGCUUGUUGGUGGGGGAGUGGCUUACCAAGGCUUUGACGGGUAGCCGGCCUGGGAGGGUGACCGGGCACAUUACGACUGAGAGACGGAGCAGACUGCAACGGGAGGCAGCGGUGGGGAAUAUUACACAAUGGGGGGGAGCGUGAGACGGCAACGCCGCGUGCGGGAUGAGGGCCUUCGGGGUGUGAACCGCUUUGGCCUGAGACGAAGCGUGAGUGACGGUAAUGGGUAAAGAAGCACCGGCUAACUACGUG